CCUACGGGUGGCAGCAGUGAGGAAUAUUGGUCAAUGGACGAGAGUCUGAACCAGCCAAGUAGCGUGAAGGAUGACUGCCCUAUGGGUUGUAAACUUCUUUUAUAUGGGAAUAAAAUGUUCCACGUGUGGGAUUUUGUAUGUACCAUAUGAAUAAGGAUCGGCUAACUCCGUGCCAGCAGCCGCGGUAAUACGGAGGAUCCGAGCGUUAUCCGGAUUUAUUGGGUUUAAAGGGAGCGUAGGUGGAUUGUUAAGUCAGUUGUGAAAGUUUUCGGCUCAACCGUAUAAUUGAAGUUGAAACUGGCAGUCUUGAGUACAGUAGAGGUGGGCGGAAUUCGUGGUGUAGCGGUGAAAUGCUUAGAUAUCACGAAGAACUCCGAUUGCGAAGGCAGUUCACUGGACUGCAACUGACACUGAGGCUCGAAAGUGUGGGUAUCAAACAGGAUUAGAUACCCGAGUAGUC
rnacentral:rRNA from 1 species